rnacentral:misc_RNA from 1 species
GAUGAAGAACGUAGCAAAAUGCGAUAAGUAAUGUGAAUUGCAGAAUUCAGUGAAUCAUCGAAUCUUUGAACGCACAUUGCGCCCGCCAGUAUUCUGGCGGGCAUGCCUGUUCGAGCGUCAUUUCAACCCUCAAGCACAGCUUGGUGUUGGGACUCGCGUUAAUUCGCGUUCCCCAAAUCGAUUGGCGGUCACGUCGAGCUUCCAUAGCGUAGUAGUAAAACCCUCGUUACUGGUAAUCGUCGCGGCCACGCCGUUAAACCCCAACUUCUGAAUGUUGACCUCGGAUCAGGUAGGAAUACCCGCUGAACUUAAGCAUAUCAAUAAGCGAGGA